CCUACGGGUGGCAGCAGUGAGGAAUAUUGGUCAAUGGGCGCGAGCCUGAACCAGCCAAGUCGCGUGAGGGAUGACGGUCCUAUGGAUUGUAAACCUCUUUUGUCAGGGAAUAAAGUGAGGCACGCGUGCCGUUCCGUACGUACUUUAUGAAUAAGGAUAGGCUCACUCCGUGCCAGCAGCCGCGGUAAUACGGAGGAUGCGAGCGUUAUCCGGAUUUAUUGGGUUUAAAGGGUGCGUAGAUGGGUAGUUAAGUCAGUGGGGAAAGUUGGCGGCUCAACCGUCAGAGUGCGAUUGAUACUGGCUGCCUUGAGUACAGUUGAGGUAGGCGGAAUGCGUGGUGUAGCGGUGAAAUGCAUAGAUAUCACGAAGAACUCCGAUUGCGAAGGCAGCCUACUAGACUUCCACUGACAUUGAUGCACGAAAGUGUGGGUAUCGAACAGGAUUAGAUACCCGAGUAGUC
rnacentral:rRNA from 1 species